AGUGAACGCUGGCGGCAGGCCUAACACAUGCAAGUCGAACGGCAGCACAGUAAGAGCUUGCUCUUACGGGUGGCGCGCGGCGGACGGGUGAGGAAUACAUCGGAUACCACUUUUACGUGGGUGGUAACGUAGGGAAAGUUAUGCUAAUACCGCAUAUGUCGUACGGGUGAAAGCAGGGGACCUUUGGACUUUUUGCGAUUGUAUGAGCCGAUGUCGGAUUAGCUAGUUGGCGGGGUAAAGGCCCACCAAGGCGACGAUCCGUAGCUGGUCUGAGAGGAUGAUCAGCGACACUGGAACUGAGACACGGUCCAGACUCCUACGGGAGGCAGCAGUGGGGAAUCUUGCGCAAUGGGGGAAAGCCUGAUCCAGCGAAACCGCGUGAGUGAUGAAGGCCUUCGGGUUGUAAAACCCUGUUGUUGGGAGAGAAGAAAAGCUGGUUAAUCGCCGACUGUACUGACGGUACCCAAAGAAUAAGCCCCGGCUAACUUCGUG
rnacentral:rRNA from 1 species